rnacentral:rRNA from 1 species
UAGGAAUCUUCCACAAUGGAACGAAAGUCUGAUGGAGCAACGCCGCGUGAGUGAAGAAGGGUUUCGGCUCGUAAAAGCUCUGUUGGUAGUGAAGAAAGAUAGAGGUAGUAACUGGCCUUUAUUUGACGGUAAUUACUUAGAAAGUCACGGCUAACUACGUGCC